CACAAUAUUCUUUUGUCUAUUUGACCUAAUACAAUCUUUAAAAGCCUUAGAUGAUUAUGUUUUUUUUUAAAGAUUUUAUUUUUUUCCUUUUUCUCCCCAAAGCCCCCCAAGUACAUAGUUGUAUAUUCGUUGUGGGUCCUUCUAGUUGUGGCAUGUGGGACACCGCCUCAGCGUGGCUUGACGAGCAGUGCCAUGUCCGCGCCCAGGAUUCGAACCAACGAAACACUGGGCCCCCUGCAGCGGAGCGCGCGAACUUAACCACUCGGCCACGGGGCCAGUCCCAGUCCUUAAAAGGAAGAAAUCGGUUUCAGGAUGCAACUCACAGGUCCAUUCCAGAAGGUCAGGAGGUGCAGACGAGUUGAGCUGUUGACUCAGCUGAGAUUCUAGCCUGUGGACCAGAGCACAUUCAGAUGAACCCCAUCUAGGUCCCAUCUGGAGAAAACGUUGGGCUGGAGUGAGAAGAAGGGACUGUCCAUCUGGUUCUGCCCUUUACUGCUCUGCGUCUCAGGCAAGUCAACCUCAGCCUGCCUGUCUCUCCUCAUCUGUAGAAAAGCUAGUGUCACCCACCUUGUCAGUUAGUGGGAGGACAAGACAAGAUAAUUCCUGGGAAGGCACCCUGU
rnacentral:lncRNA from 1 species